UAAAAGAUUAUCUAUUUUAGGUGCUUAUACAAACAUUCACACACUUAUAUCACAAAUUUCAGUUGACCUGCCGAACAUUGCACUGAUUAAAUUCUAGCAAAAGUAAGUAUUUCAAUGUAAAUAUUUUACUUUAAACAGUUAUUGGAAAUGGUGCAUUAUUGAAUCUCAAGUGCAGCCCUUAUAAUUAAUCUCUGUCCCCCUUUCACUAAACAAAAAGUAUAUUUGGGUUUAAUAAUUAGCAUUUCCAGU